GUGCUGUCUUCAGUAGCAUAUAUACUAAAAUUAUAACAAUACCCAGAAGAUUAGUAUGGUCCUUGUGCAAGGAUGACACACAAAUGUGUAAAGUAUUCCAUAUUACC
ensembl:snRNA U6 U6 spliceosomal RNA